rnacentral:snoRNA from 1 species
GUACAGAUGAUGAGCAUUGCGGUAUGAGGGCUAACAAUGAUACUGUAAACGCUUUCUGAUGUA